rnacentral:rRNA from 1 species
AACGAACGCUGGCGGCAGGCUUAACACAUGCAAGUCGAGCGCCCCGCAAGGGGAGCGGCAGACGGGUGAGUAACGCGUGGGAACGUACCCUUUGCUACGGAAUAGCUCCGGGAAACUGGAAUUAAUACCGUAUGUGCCCUACGGGGGAAAGAUCUAUCGGCAAAGGAUCGGCCCGCGUUGGAUUAGCUAGUUGGUGGGGUAAUGGCCUACCAAGGCGACGAUCCAUAGCUGGUCUGAGAGGAUGAUCAGCCACAUUGGGACUGAGACACGGCCCAAACUCCUACGGGAGGCAGCAGUGGGGAAUAUUGGACAAUGGGCGCAAGCCUGAUCCAGCCAUGCCGCGUGAGUGAUGAAGGCCUUAGGGUUGUAAAGCUCUUUUACCCGGGAUGAUAAUGACAGUACCGGGAGAAUAAGCUCCGGCUAACUCCGUGCCAGCAGCCGCCGUAAGAC